CCAAAAGAGAAGUGUAGGCAUGGAUUUCAAGGCUAGAACUAGAGAGCACCUCUGUGCUGAUGCAGUUAUUUGCUUAGAGAGUUUAUUAUGAACUUGGAGAUAAAACUGACAGAUCUGGAGUCCAAGCUCUUCCCUCUGGGCUGUGCAUAUCUUUGGUGUGUCUAGAAACUACUACCCAAGCUAAAUUGGCUGUGUUCUUCCUCACGGUCUCUGUUGAGGAGUGCAGGCUCAGCAAGGUGCCUUGGCAGGACAGACUGAGCAAGAACUUUGGACUUUUGAUGCAGAUGCAUCACACUGGAACGCCAACACUGCCCCUUUGUGGGUGUGCAUACUUGAAUACGUCCAUUGGAUCAAUGUGAGAUCAACUUGGGCGAGGUUUCUAUUUGCGCUUUGGCCUCCAUGAGCCUCCACUCUGUAUAGGUAACAAGAAUAGUGUUUUGAGCCUACCAAUGACCAUGGCAACUGGGAAUCUCUUUCUCCAGUGUUGAGCUAAUCUGAAUACAAACUCUUUGAAAGCAAAGAUUUUGUUGUCUCACUUGCCAAUGAAUAUCCUCCAUUGCCUAGAACAAUGCAUGACACAAACAUCUGAAAACCUCCCAAAGUUACUAGAAGAAAGGAAAGAGAUGGAGGUGAUAGGAAGAGAUCCUGGAGGUAAUGAGCUAGAAGAAGACUGUGUGCCAUGAUGGGCCUCACAAACUCCCCAGGUUUGGUACCUAAGAAGGACAAAGCAGGAACACGAAAGUCCCCAUCAUGGCAUUUAUCUAGGACUCCAGGAUAAAAGGAAAGUUGGGGGUGGAACCCAUCCACAAUUCAUCACGGAUGGUGAUGUCUUUAUUGGCUACUGACCUUGCAAUGAGUUGAAUGAGUUAUAAGAAGGUUCUCUGUUACCCCAAUCCCUGUUUUCUUGAAGGAGGACAUAAAUCACUUGAAUCUCAUGAAUUUCUCAUAUUUACAAAGUAUGCUUCCAAAUUUCCCACAGAGGAUGCAGUAUAACCACUUAUUUUUCCAAUUUAAAAAAAAUAAUUUUUCAGCUUGUUCGAUGUCACAUAAGGAGGCUGAUGAUUGAGAAGAUCUGAGAGUGACCCGAGGAUCCAAGGGUGGGUGUCAGCAAGAAGCCCAGAGAGAAGCAGAUAGCUUCCAUCAUUCCUGUUGUGAGGGUGUUUGCAUUACU